GUUCAGGGGGAGGUGGGGAAGUGUGAUUCAAGCUGGAAAGAUUAGACCCUUUCCCCAGAUGGAGAAGAGGAAAUAUGUAGACACCUGGACACCUGGAAUGACUGAUGAAUUCAUGAGCACACCCCCAAGUUUGUCUUUAUCUGACCUAAUUGUAAAGUGCUUAGCAUAGUGCCUGGCACAAGAUCCUGACUCCCCUGGAAUGCUCUGAAUCCAUCUGUACUCUGGUUAGAGUCAUUUGCUUGGGUUUUUGAUCUCCUCUCUCAGAACUGUGUCUAGCCUGGGACUCAUUGGUCGCACAUAUCUUCUUGUAUCCUUUUGGUGUGAGUUCCCUGAAACUCAGAGCCAGGCAUUGGUAGACGGUGAUGGGGAAGGCUCUCAGUCUGGAAAAUAGAAAAUGUUGGCUUCAAACAGCCCAGCAGGAAUGAAACACCCAUAAACUUAUAUGCUUUUGGUGGAACUGUGAACUGAUCCAACCAUUCUGGGAAGCAAUUUAGAAUUAUGAAAGGAAAUGUGAAAAUAGAGUAACUCAGAGUAACUCCCUACCCUUUGGUCCAGAGAUCCCACUGCUAGAUGUAUACUCUAAAUAAUUCAAUGAUAAGAAUACAUGCAUCAAAAUAUUUCAGAAGCAAUUUCUGUGAUAGCAAAAAAUUGGAAACAAAGUGGAUGUCUAUCAAUUUGGGAAUGACUAAACAAAUGGACAUAAUGAAUAUUAUUGUGCUGUAAGAAAUAAUAAGUAUGAUGAUUACAGAGGAAUAUGGGAAGACAUAUGAACUGAUGGAAAAUGAAGAAACAGAAACAGAAGAAACAGAAAAAACAAUAUGCAUGUAAGGGCAGAGGUCUCCUCCGAUCCCAGUUAAUUAUAAAAGGGCUAGACAUCUGAAUUAAAUCAAUGAAUCAUUAAAAAAUAGGUGUGAGUAAGUUUUUAAUCAGUUGAAAGUAUCAUAGGGAAGUUGGGUCAUUGGAUAGUGCCACAUAGGAAAUGUAUUUUAAUUGGUUGAAAAAGAUCAAGUCAUUCCUCUUGGGCUACAUAUUAAGAAGCAAGCUAGUUUACAGCAAGUCAGUCAAGUAGAAGACUCCAAAUUUGGGAGCUGACAAUUCCAGGUCCUUGACCAUGUGGCUGAAGAUGCUGGACAAAUAGAAGACAAUACAUACAGUUGAAAGUAGGGGGAGAUUUAACCAGGACAAACAGAAGGUCUCUUUUGAGAAAAGUAGCUGAGUAUUCAGAAAAAGAAAGGGUUAGGUUAUGACCUUGUAAGCUUUGAAAGUUGGAAGAACUGGAAAUCCCAUUGGCAUUGAUAAUGGAGUCCAAUGGGACCAGAAUCAGGCUAUGACUAUGUCUGCUUUGGGUUCUGAGAAACACAGGAUAGACUAGAUAUACUGAGGAAAAAUAGCUUAGAAAUCUACAUGGAGACUAGCCCUUAGAGUGUUGUAGACAACUACACUUACUGGGAAUUUCAUGAGGACCCCACAAAGAGAGAAAAGGACUUUCAGCAACCAGAAGCUGUUACCCCUUUGUUAUACAGCAUUCUUGGAGCUGCUUCCUCAAUACCUGUGUGUGUGUGUGUGUGUAUGUACACACACACUGUUGUAUAUGCUAUAUCUGUGUAUAUACACACACACUCACACACAUACACACACAUAUACACUGUGUGCCUCACUAUGUUUACUAUAAAUUUGAGGCCACUCUUCCCAGAGAUCUUGUGUGUGCAAGGGGAGAUUGUGUCCACACUUUGGAAGGAGGGAACUGUUUCUGUAACAGCUGUCCUUGCUAUUCCCUCUUAAUAAACACUUUCUGUAAGCUAUUUAAGCCUGG